UCUUCCACGACAAUUAAAUGGUGCCAUGACUCGGAUCCACAGGCAACGACGUGUUCGGAGGACUGUGAGCCUUUCCCCGCCGAACCCCGGCACCACCAAUAAAGCAGACCAGUCUCCGUUGGCCAAUCUCUCUUACUUGGCCCUACUCCAGGAACAGGCUCCAAAAUUUGAGAGAGAAGACUGGCUGCACAAAGGAUGUCAGUUGCACCCUGACACCUUGUGGCGCUCCCCGGACGGCCUCCUGGUAGCACCCAAGGCUUUGCUACUUUACCUUGCUCGUCUGGCUCACUCAGUGGCCCACACAAAGGGGGGAUGAUUGCAACAGUACAGCGUGAUUGGUUUGCCCCAAAUUUUCCCUUCAUGGCACAGCAGUACUGUAGCACUUGUCCCAUUUGUCUUGCCCAUAACAUUGGUCAGAAGGUUAAAACUAGACAAGCGGCACACCCUCCAACCACCAUGAGAACCUUUUGUAAAUUUGCAAAUGGACUUUGUUCAAAUGCCAAAUUGUUGUUCUUUUGAAUAUAUUCUUGUCAUUAUUGAUAUGUACUCUGGUUGGGUAGAAGCUUAUCCUUGUAAACAUGCAGAUUCCAAAUCUGUAGCAAAGAAACUUUUGAAAGAAUUCAUACCCAGAUUUGGCCUGCCACUCACGCUAGACAGUGACCGAGGAACACACUUCACAUGGCAGAUUGUUAGAAACAUCUGUAAGGCCCUGAACAUACACCAGCACCUGCACUGUGCCUACCAUCCCCGAUCCAGUGGUGCAGUAGAGUGAAAAAACUCUGACUUAAAAACACGCGUGUCUAAAAUUUGUGCUGAAACUAACUUGAAAUGGCCAGGUGCAUUGCUACUGGCACUUAUGCACAUUAGAAACAUUGCCAACAGAAAACAUGGACUGUCCCCACAUGAAAUUCUCAUGGCGCGUCCCAUGAGAAUGGCCACUACACCACCCCCAUUUCCUGAUCAGACUAAUCUUCAGUUGGAUGAUGAAACUGUUUUAAAUUACUGUAAUGCACUAAUGAAAUGUGUCAGAUCUAUUCAUUCACAGGUUCAGGAAGCGCUGCCACCCGCUGCAGACGUCCCGUGCCAUUUGCUUGAGGCUGGAAACUGGGUAUAUAUCAAGGUUCAUCAAUUAAAAAAAACUCACUCCAAACCAGAUGGAAGGGCCCCUUCCAGGUGCUCCUAACCACUAACAUUGCCGUUCGUUGCCAAGAACACCAGACGUGGACUCACACCUCGCACUGUAAAAAGAUUUCACCUCCAUUGGACCCCGAGGCAGCUGAAUUCCAACCAGACAGAAAGACUCCACAAGCUGGUAGUGAGCUCAGUGCCUGCCAGCAGAAGUAUUCAGGACCAGUGGUGAGCAUAGCGCCCACUGUCGAAGAGGAUUUACCACUACAGAGUGAAGAAGAUGUGCCCCCACGAUACCACUAUGCCCUCCAGGAAAGGAAAAAGGCCUCCACCUAGUUCCUGGUUCCCAAGAUGGGACUGGUUGGUCGUGACUUGGGUAAUUCUUAGUUUGCUUGUUUGGAUCAUAUUACACGAAUUUAAAGACUCAGUAACUGAAGAAAACAUGAUAAACGACUUAAUAUUGCAGAAUAGAUCAAGAAGGUCACUAUUUCAUCACCAAAAUGUUUUCCUCCAAUUAUCUUACCAAUUUGCAAAGGACUUAAAUGUUUCUCAAUGUUGGGUAUGCAGUCAUGCCCCUAUUCAUUCUACUGGGGGAAUACCCAUGAUAUCAACACCUUUAAAUGCCACACAAAUUUCAGCCCCUUACUAUUCAGAUUUUAAAGGAAAUGAAACCUGGCAGGAUAUAAAAUGUAACCAAUUUGAUUAUAUAUGGUUAGCCUAUGCCACCCUGGGAAAAUUUUGUUGGACCUGUAACGGAUUUGAAUUUUCAGUAGGAAUCAGUAAAUGUGAGAGAGAAUUUAAGAUAAAUGGGGCAUGGUUCUCUAAUGGUUCCUGGAUAUCUAAUUAUACUCCCAAAGUGGAUUUUCAGGUUAUUAUACACAAUGGAUGAUGAGACCACGCUGUAAUGAUAGCCACAAGUUUACUGCACUGGCUGGCCAUUAUUUCACAUGUGGAGACAAGGCCUAUAAACACCUUCCUUCCAGAUGGGAAGGAACAUGCUAUGUCUCUGCAAUAUAUCCCGCUAUUGCUGUUAGAUCUUACUUACCAAAAGGAAAGAUUCGCAACAUGCGGGAACUUACAGAAACUCAGAGAUUUUGGGGAAUCAUGUUUCCCAACUAUGGCGCAGGCUUGGCUAUGUCUGAAAUAAAGAAAGUUGCAGCAUCCCUAGAGAAGAUAGCUAAUUCUACUGCUAUUGGUCUUCACGAAAUAAAUAAUGAAAUGAAGGAAAUAAGACAGAUGACUUUACAAAACAGACUUGCUUUAGAUUACAUGUUAGCCAGCAAAGGAGGAGUCUGUGCUUUAAUUGGUAAAGAAUGCUGUACUUACAUGCCUGAUAAUUCCGAAAAAAUACAAGACUUGGAUGAACAUAUUCAAAAUGAAGCAGCCAAAUUACAUGAGCCAGACGAUUGGAAUUUAAGUUCAUGGUUUAGGUCCCUUUUUGGCUCCUUAGGAUCCACCAUUAUUCCUGGAUUAUUGAUACUUUUUAUUAUUAUAGUCCUGAUAUGUGUAAUUUUCAUGCUUGUACGCUGUUGUUUAAGCUACAUAUCUAAGCAAACCCAACCAGGGAAUAGAUUAUAUAUUCCUGCAAAUAUCUGAACAAAAUCAGCAGAAGGAAAAUGAAAGAAAAGACACCACAGAAACUAAAAUGAUGGUACUAAAAAGAUGUGAGCAGAUUGAAAGAAGAUAUAGAAAGAUGCAAGAUGAAAUAGAGAGACUCAUGGGAAUAGAAAUAGAAUAAGAUGAGACUUGUAAGUCUCAAAGGGGGGAAAUGUGGAAGCAAAGGAUGGAUAAGGCCUCAAGGGGGGAGAGAGAAAUUCGUUAGGUAAGAGGAAGAUGACCAUUAAACUGUCUUGAAGGACACAAGACAGAUAGCCCCAAGGCGGGAAAAGUUAGUUUAGGCAACCCUUUGUCUUGAAUCUAUAAAAGGUUAAUUGCCCUGGAUGAAAAGGAGAGAGGCCACAGCAGAAAUCUUCCUGUAAGUGUCUGUCUCCGAUAGCUAUCGAAAUCAAGUUUCUACCUGACCUGAUUCCAAAUUCUACAGCGUGUUUUUUCCACAAGUCAGUUGUUGCGGACUGCUUGCAGCGAGAAUGUGCUUGCCAGUCAGAGUAAGGACGUUACAGUUUGGGGCGGCAGGGAGGUAGGUUCAGCCCCCUCAGUGUAUGCUGCCAAAAUGCCUUUUCCAGGAUGGGUUUUAAAUAAGGUCUUUGAGAUGGAGACAAUCUUUUGGUGACCUGUGUGUACAGCACCAAGCACUGGAGAGUCCAGAUGUCUAAAUUGAGCCCCAAGUGGCGAUGCGCAGGGGGUGCAUGGGGUUGCACGUGCACCCCCUGAGAGGGCCGGUCCACCCCUGACAGGCUGUGCUCCCCGCUUAGGUGACAGGCAAGGUGGGAACACCAGUGACCUCCCUGCGAGCACCGGUCGGGAAAUGGGAACGCCAGAUGAAGCGCCGUGGCCACUUUUGUGAGUGCCAGAAAUUGGCCGUGGGGGGAGUUUGCCUGCUGACUGGUCGCUGGGAGGGGGGCAUGGCCCCCCCCCGACUAAGGUGGCACUGGUCGCCCAUGCGAGCCCCUUAGCUUUAGUGCAAACCAUGUGGUGAAAAAAAGGGACAUUUCACCAGCCUUCAUUCUUGCAAGCUGGUAGAAAAGGGGAUGCUUGCAGCACUUUUCAUACGCAUUGCAAAAAUGUCAUCAAGAGGCAUGCCCAAAAUACCUGUAGUGCUCAGGUCGGGCACUUCAUGUAUAAUUAAAGGAGCAUGUCCCCUGAGAAGGGACUUGGACAAAAUGUUCACUCCUGCUAGCAAUCAACUCGAAACAAUAUGGCAGCAGCUCGCUAACAAAUAAGUGCCCUUUGUGUCUUCCACCGGUGUCUUCCACCGCUGUUGUGGAAGACUGUCAGGGACUUCCUCAUGCAGUUUAUCUUUCUCACAGAAUACAGGGAAGUAGUAGGGCAGUGCCAUAGAUAUAAAUCCAUCAACUGCUUUAGAUAGCGCGGUCAAUUAAAUAAUUGAUUUUGGCUUUAGGAACGUGUUUUAUCAUCACAGUUUCCAUGCUGCCACCCCUGCAAAGGUUACCAUGUACUUUCCAGUCAUCUCACAAUAAAUAAACAUGAUGGCAUGCCCUGUCAAAUGUAAUAACUCGGAUUCUCUAGACCCUAGCUCUCACAAAGCAACUUGGUUCUCCAAAUACGGCCUAAUACCUUGGGGCUCAUGUAGGGCUUUGAGUCCUUCAUCAUCUUCCGUAAUACGCAUGGAAGUCCAGCUCAGAGUCUUUUGCUUUUCUGCCACUACUGCCACAAAGGACAGAGCUCACAGGUGGAAGGAGAGUCCUCUGGGGUGGUCUCCUGCAACAAUAGGCUUCCUUAAUAUUGUCCUUCCCCCUACUGGUAUACUGCUGAUUGUCCAAGGUGAGGUUCUGCUAGUACUCACGGUUGUACACUGUCUGAUAAAAAUCCUUUGCUACGGCCGCACAAACUACAAGUGCAGCAGUCGUGGCUUUCUACGGUUUGGGCUUUGGCAGAUACUAUGCCAUUGAGUGCCCUAAGGAAUCUGCCACCCGCCAGCGAUGCAGCAGGCAUAGGGUUGCUUUAAGAGUCUGUUGCUGAUUACCAGGUUUCUGGGUAUUCCUGAGGCUGUCUGGCAAAUGCCUACCAUUCUCUGCUUUUUCAAAGCAAGGUCUCUGAAGAAUGAGGUUUUCCCGCUCUUCCCAAGCAAGACCUGUUCUAAAAAGGUGGCAGCCAUGCAAAGGCUGAGCACAGGAGCAGCUGACAAAAAGCAAAGGACUCUAUGGAAAAGCCUAUAGCUGGGAUGAGGGUUAUAUACUCUAACUUACAGUUUGGCAUAAUCUAGUACCUGUGGAAUAAACCCGCUGGAUUCAGAAGGAAGCUGGAAGUGCUAGCAAAGUGCAAAUUCAUCCCAAGAUUACACGAGCUGGUGGUGUAUUACAACUGGCUUGAUGAACUCAAACAUUACCAGGGAACUUUACCCUGCUGUCAGCCAGUGCUGCUGAUUUGUGCACAUCGGUGCCGUUGUUGUUCUGGCCUAACUUGUGUUUUAUUGGCCGAGCUUGUUGUGACUCGAUGCGCUGCCAAAUCAGGGUGCACCUCUCUGGGCUGCACUAGCAGCCGAACCUUAGUCCCAACCAA